rnacentral:rRNA from 1 species
GACGUAGGGCGCGAGCGUUGUCCGGAUUUAUUGGGCGUAAAGAGCUCGUAGGCGGCUUGUCGCGUCGUUCGUGAAAACUCGGGGCUUAACCCCGGGCCUGCAGUGGGUACGGGCAGACUAGAGUGCGGUAGGGGAGACUAGAAUUCCUGGUGUAGCGGUGAAAUGCGCAGAUAUCAGGAGGAACACCGGGUGGCGAAGGCGGGUCUCUGGGCCGAUACUGACGCUGAGGAGCGAAAGCGUGGGGAGCAAACAGG